UUCAAUCCACCGAGAUGCUCAUUUUUGCCUAAGCUGCCCUUUCGGGUUUUCAACUUAGCGAGCCAUUCUAUUUUUAUUUCUAGGCGAAGUAUUUCUUGACUGCAUCUGAAUUCACAGAACGAGUGAAAUCCUCUCCAUCCAUAGUUGUAAGUAUCAAAGCACCGCCUGAAAAGGCUCUCUUAACAACAUAUGGGACUUCGUAGUUUGGAGUCCACUUGCCCCUGGAAUCGGGCGCGAAAGACAAGACUUUCUUGAGCACAAG
rnacentral:lncRNA from 1 species